rnacentral:rRNA from 1 species
GACGAACGCUGGCGGCGUGCCUAAUACAUGCAAGUAGAACGAGUUGCGAACGGGUGAGUAACGCGUGGUAACCUGCCUCAUAGCGGGGGAUAACUAUUGGAAACGAUAGCUAAUACCGCAUACCAUCGGAUGUGCCCAGAUGGGAUUAGCUAGUAGGUGGGGUAACGGCUCACCUAGGCGACGAUCCCUAGCUGGUCUGAGAGGAUGACCAGCCACACUGGAACUGAGACACGGUCCAGACUCCUACGGGAGGCAGCAGUGGGGAAUAUUGCACAAUGGGCGCAAGCCUGAUGCAGCCAUGCCGCGUGUAUGAAGAAGGCCUUCGGGUUGUAAAGUACUUUCAGCGAGGAGGCGUUACUCGCAGAAGAAGCACCGGCUAACUCCGUGCCAGCAGCCGCGGUAAUAC